rnacentral:miRNA from 1 species
CAGUGUAGUUCUAAACCCGUCGGG